UACGAGGGGGGCAAGCGUUGUUCGGAAUUAUUGGGCGUAAAGAGCUCGUAGGCGGUUUGUCGCGUCUGCUGUGAAAACUCGGGGCUUAACUCCGGGCCUGCAGUGGGUACGGGCAGACUAGAGUGCGGUAGGGGAGACUGGAAUUCCUGGUGUAGCGGUGAAAUGCGCAGAUAUCAGGAGGAACACCGGUGGCGAAGGCGGGUCUCUGGGCCGUAACUGACGCUGAGGAGCGAAAGCGUGGGGAGCGAACAGG
rnacentral:rRNA from 1 species